GAUAUAUAAAGACAAGUGGAUGGUAUAACUUGAAAAAAAAAAAAAUUAAACUAAGUCUAUUUCUACUUUGAUGUAGGUUUUAAUGAUGAUAAAAACCCUUAGUGACCCACCUCCUCACGUAAUGUGACAUUUUAGUGAAAGAAGAGUGNAAUAACUUGGUUGAUUGACAUUGCAUUAAAUGUUUGGAAGAGAAAGUGAGCUGCAUUUAAUGUGGGUAAGGAGAGAGAAAAACCUUUUUUAUGUCACAAUUCAAUGCAAAGAUGGNAAAGAUAUCUUGGAUUUUCAAUUGGAAAAGAGGUUGUUACUUUUUCUUCAAGCCAUUCCAACGGAUACUUCUUCCCUCCAAAAACUUUCCACCACCUACCAUAACUUUUCGACCUUAACCUCGUUCAACCACC
rnacentral:lncRNA from 1 species